UACGGAAGGCAGCAGGGGGAAUAUUGCACAAUGGGCGCAAGCCUGAUGCAGCCAUGCCGCGUGUAUGAAGAAGGCCUUCGGGUUGUAAAGUACUUUCAGUCGUGAGGAAGGUGUUAAGGUUAAUAACCUUAGCAAUUGACGUUAGCGACAGAAGAAGCACCGGCUAACUCCGUGCCAGCAGCCGCGGUAAUACGGAGGGUGCGAGCGUUAAUCGGAAUUACUGGGCGUAAAGGGCACGCAGGCGGUUAAUUAAGUUGGAUGUGAAAUCCCCGGGCUUAACCUGGGAAUGGCAUUCAAGCUGGUUAGCUAGAGUCUUGUAGAGGGGGUAGAAUUCCAUGUGUAGCGGUGAAAUGCGUAGAGAUGUGGAGGAAUACCGGUGGCGAAGGCGGCCCCUGGACAAAGGACUGACGCUCAUGUGCGAAAGCGUGGGGAGCAAAC
rnacentral:rRNA from 1 species